AUUGAACGCUGGCGGCAUGCCUUACACAUGCAAGUCGAACGGUAACAGGUCUUCGGAUGCUGACGAGUGGCGAACGGGUGAGUAAUACAUCGGAACGUGCCUAGUAGUGGGGGAUAACUACUCGAAAGAGUGGCUAAUACCGCAUGAGAUCUACGGAUGAAAGCAGGGGAUCGCAAGACCUUGUGCUACUAGAGCGGCCGAUGGCAGAUUAGGUAGUUGGUGGGGUAAAGGCCUACCAAGGCGACGAUCUGUAGCGGGUCUGAGAGGACGACCAGCCACACUGGGACUGAGACACGGACCAGACUCCUACGGGAGGCAGCAGUGGGGAAUUUUGGACAAUGGGCGCAAGCCUGAUCCAGCAAUGCCGCGUGCAGGAAGAAGGCCUUCGGGUUGUAUACUGCUUUUGUACGGAACGAAACGGCUCUGGUUAAUACCUGGGGCUAAUGACGGUACCGUAAGAAUAAGCACCGGCUAACUACGUGCCAGCAGCCGCCGCGG
rnacentral:rRNA from 1 species